ACUUUCUUUCCCUUCUUUAUUCCCCUCUUUUAUAGGCCAACAGAGCAAAUCUUUCUGUGUAGAAAACCCUCCAUGCCUUGUGGACACAAUAUGUUCUUGUUUAUUGCCUAAAAGUAACAAAAAGGCUUUAUGCAGAUUAAAAAGUCCAAGAUCUAGAAAAACUAACAAUUUCGCACCAAAUUCUGCUAUUGUUCAAGGUUCUAGCUAUAGUUAUUCUACUAGGUUUAAAAUGUGCAUUGUAAGUCUUUGCUGUGAUGAUACUUGGGAGUUUUUUCUUAAAGGUUGAGCAAUUUGAGUAGAUAAAAGUGUAUCAAGGUGUUUGGGGACAGAGAAUGAAUAUUAGCAAUGACAAAUUUGAUUGCAAGAAAUUGAACCACGAUUCAACCUAACUUAGUGAAAAACCACUGGAGUAUCUCCUGGACUCCGAGGACAGAGAGGCAGCUGGAUUUCCAGAACAGAACUACGCUCUGCAGUUCUGUUGGAAAAGUUCCAGGCAAGGGACCAAGUGGCCAAGCUUGAUGAUCAAUUCCACAGAGCCAGCACUAGGACAAUAAACCACGCUGGUUCCGACAUCUGGGGAAUUAACGUGUCCCGCCC
rnacentral:lncRNA from 1 species